CAAGAAAGGCUAGGCCAAGGCAAGGACGGUCACGUGCCUGGAGGGAACCAGCCGGAUUCGUGCUUGGCUCUGCGGCCGGUGGCCUGUGGGGCCGGAGACAGGCUGCCGAUAGACAGACAACCGGACAUGUACUGUUCACCGGUAGGAGUAUAUGGGCCGGCGGAGGCAGCCUGAUGGGUAGAUGGGCUCCAAGGCCCCAAGGCGCUUUCAUAAAACUUUCACCUUUAAAAAAAACUAUUCCUAUAGAAAGAGCUUAUUUUUUGACAGUAUACAGAAAGAGUUUGUUUGUAUUAAGAAAAAUGGCGGGGUGACCCGCGCAGACUGCGGGGUUAAUUUUAAUAAUCAUUUAUUUUCUAAUGGUUCCAGUGCAAUUAGUUGUACUGUAUUUAGAAUAGCUCAAUUUUUUUCCUCGCAGAAUCUCACUUGAGAGUUGUCCUUUAUUGAGGA
rnacentral:lncRNA from 1 species